GUCGGGGGAGUGUCCUGCCCUAUUUUUUUACCGCCGACUCUCAUUUUUUCGGCAUCCACAGGCUUCCCUGGAUGUGGGCUUUCGGGAAGGCUCUGUUACUUUCCAGUCUUUUCCAGGGUAAAUUUAUCCACCACUGAGGGAGAACCCCAGCGGCUGCUGCCCCCGUGGAAAGGGUGCCGAGAGGAAGAGCUGCAGCCCAAGGCCGGCUGAAAACCCGGGGUUAAAACCAGAGUAUGUUUGCUCAGCAGGUACCCGAAGGAGCGACCCUGAGGUUUGCUCUCCCGUUUUGCUCUGUCGGCCCCUUUGCGUUUAUAGGUCUUUUGGAAUCCAACCAGAGGACUGCAGGUGAGAGAGAAGCAGGGAUACACAUCACCAGAAGGUUGUGUUCCAGCAGUGGGAAAGCUUCGAGAAGCUGCUAAAAGCGUUCUACACUGCAUUUUUCUCUGACCAGACUUCACGUGGAGAAGACACACAUUGAUCAGGACAGAGUCACAUGUGAACAAACCAGCUGAACUGGGAAAAAACUUGCAGU
rnacentral:lncRNA from 1 species